rnacentral:rRNA from 1 species
ACGGAAGGCAGCAGUGAGGAAUAUUGGUCAAUGGACGGAAGUCUGAACCAGCCAAGUCGCGUGAAGGAUGAAGGUAUUAUGUAUUGUAAACUUCUUUAGCAGUGGAGUAAUAAGGGGAUCGCGAUCCCUAAUGCAAGUACACUGAGAAUAAGGAUCGGCUAACUCCGUGCCAGCAGCCGCGGUAAUACGGAGGAUCCGAGCGUUAUCCGGAUUUAUUGGGUUUAAAGGGUGCGCAGGCGGCUUUUUAAGUCAGUGGUUAAAUCGUGACGCUCAACGUCAUCACGCCAUUGAUACUGGAGAGCUUGAUUGCGGUCGAGGUUUGCGGAAUUCGUUGUGUAGCGGUGAAAUGCAUAGAUAUGACGAAGAACACCGAUUGCGUAGGCAGCAGACCAGGCCGUAAAUGACGCUCAUGCACGAAAGUGCGGGGAUCGAACAGGAUUAGAUACCCUGGUA